UUCUCUGGAUGAGUUGCGAACGGGUGAGUAACGCGUAGGUAACCUGCCUGGUAGCGGGGGACAACUAUUGGAAACGAUAGCUAAUACCGCAUAAGAGUGGAUGUUGCAUGACAUUUACUUAAAAGGUGCAAUUGCAUCACUACCAGAUGGACCUGCGUUGUAUUAGCUAGUUGGUGGGGUAACGGCUCACCAAGGCAACGAUACAUAGCCGACCUGAGAGGGUGAUCGGCCACACUGGGACUGAGACACGGCCCAGACUCCUACGGGAGGCAGCAGUAGGGAAUCUUCGGCAAUGGACGGAAGUCUGACCGAGCAACGCCGCGUGAGUGAAGAAGGUUUUCGGAUCGUAAAGCUCUGUUGUAAGAGAAGAACGAGUGUGAGAGUGGAAAGUUCACACUGUGACGGUAUCUUACCAGAAAGGGACGGCUAACUACGUGCCAGCAGCCGCGGUAAUACGUAGGUCCCGAGCGUUGUCCGGAUUUAUUGGGCGUAAAGCGAGCGCAGGCGGUUAGAUAAGUCUGAAGUUAAAGGCUGUGGCUUAACCUUAGUACGCUUUGGAAACUGUUUAACUUGAGUGCAAGAGGGGAGAGUGGAAUUCCAUGUGUAGCGGUGAAAUGCGUAGAUAUAUGGAGGAACACCGGUGGCGAAAGCGGCUCUCUGGCUUGUAACUGACGCUGAGGCUCGAAAGCGUGGGGAGCAGACAGGAUUAGAUACCCUGGUAGUCCACGCCGUAAACGAUGAGU
rnacentral:rRNA from 1 species